rnacentral:rRNA from 1 species
UACGGAGGGGGCUAGCGUUGUUCGGAAUUACUGGGCGUAAAGCGCACGUAGGCGGCUUUGUAAGUUAGAGGUGAAAGCCCGGGGCUCAACUCCGGAAUUGCCUUUAAGACUGCAUCGCUAGAAUUGUGGAGAGGUAAGUGGAAUUCCGAGUGUAGAGGUGAAAUUCGUAGAUAUUCGGAAGAACACCAGUGGCGAAGGCGACUUACUGGACACAUAUUGACGCUCAUGCACGAAAGCGUGGGGAGCAAACAGG